rnacentral:lncRNA from 8 species
CUUUGGUGGUUCAUCGACGUCAUGUGCGCAGCGACCGUAGCUAGUUUGUUAGCUAUGCUAGCCAGUGCAGUUAGCCAGUAACUCAGUAUUCGUUUACGUCAUUUCACAUAAUUUGUUUUUGGACGUAAACUGUAGAGAUCGAUAAGAAAUAGCACCUCAGUAGCCGAAUAUCUCAUUCAUAUGUGUUUUGUUUUUAAGCAUUAAAUGACCUGAAAUGAUGGAAAUGAAGCCAGCGAACACCAAGAAUGGUGUCCCUGUACUCCAUUCAGCAAAAGAGGGGUGCAAACCCAAGAAAUUCACCCCAGAUGAGGUACUGGUACCAAAUCCCAGCUUCAAAGAAAAUCAAGGAACGAAAAGAAAGAGAAAAGCACUUCCUUUGAAAGUGGAAGGAAUAAUUGAAAAAGUCAAGGAGGAGAAGGAAGACAAGAAUGUAAGUGUUCAUUACACACAGUAUUUAGGCCAAAUAACCUAGGUGUCAUGUUUCAUUAGGCACCAAACGGAAGAGAACUGAUUGUAUAAUAUUGAAUCAGGGAGAGACUACCUCCAAGUUGUCCAAUAAAAAAAUGCUUGUUUUUCUUUUCCGUUGCGAAACGUUUGCUACGGCGUAUGUGUAGAGGACAUGAGUCGGUCAUGGUUGCUCAAGGUCACGUGAUGGGUAGCCCCUGCCUGCGACUUCUUCAAAAUCUAUUUCAGCCUUCAGGCCAAUGGGGGAUUUCCUCUUGGUCUAACAGUUCUUAUCCCCAACGUGGGGCCUGAUCUGUCGUGGGGCAGGAGAUCACAGGGGGUGACUGUAGCGGACUUGAGUGGUUGCUCAUGGUCACGUGAUCGGUAGCCCCACCUGCGACUUCAAAAUCAGUCGGUUCUAGUGCCAAUAGGGAAUUUCCUCUUGGUCUAAUGGUCAAGACGUUGGUUUCUCCCGCGGUAGACUCAUGUUCAUAUGUUACAUGUGGACUAAUGCAGAGGUUUUCAAACAUCUCCUCGGCGACCCCCAGGUAUUCCACGUAUUUGAACUAUUCCUGGGCUAGCACACCCGGUUCAACUUGUCAACAAAUGAUCAAGCCAAUGGUCAUGUUCCCCUGCUCAGACGUUGCAUGCAUCAACCAAUGGUUGUGUGCCAAGUCAUCGACUGCCGUCUGACACCAGAUAGCUAUAACAACAUAUUAUGUAGUUAGCUGAUAUGUAAAUUACCGAUCUAGGUGUUGUGGCAUACAUCUGAGCAGAGGACACGACCCUUGUUUAGGCGAUCAGGUGAGCUAGUUCAGGGCUAUAACAAUACUGUGAAACGACAGUGGGUCCAAGAGGAGACAUUUGAAAACUGCAUGAAUGAAUACAAUCCUGUUGGUGAUCUCACUUUAC